AAUGAACGUUGGCGGCAUGGAUUAGGCAUGCAAGUCGAGCGAGAAGAGUUUUGAAGCUUGCUUUAGAACUCGGACAGCGGCGAAAGGGAGAGUAACGCGUAGUUAUGUGCCCUAGGGUCCGGAAUAGCCACGGGAAACUGUGGGUAAUGCCGGAUAAUAUCCCCGGAUCAAAGGUGUGAUUCCGCCCUAGGAGCAGACUGCGUCCUACUAGCUAGUUGGUGGGGUAAUGGCCCACCAAGGCAAUGAUGGGUAGCGGGUGUGAGAGCAUGACCCGUCUCACUGGGACUGAGACACUGCCCAGACACCUACGGGUGGCUGCAGUCGAGAAUCUUCGGCAAUGGGCGAAAGCCUGACCGAGCGAUGCCGCGUGCGGGAUGACGGCCCUCGGGUUGUAAACCGCUGUCGUAGGGGAGGAAGGUUCCGUGAAGAGCGGGACUUGACCUAUCCUAGGAGGAAGUACGGGCUAAGUUCGUGCCAGCAGCCGCAGUAAUAC
rnacentral:rRNA from 1 species